CCCUUAGAUGUUCUGGGCUGCACGCGUGCUACACUGAUAUUGCCAAUAUGUCAUUCUUAUCCGAAAUGGAUUGGGUAAUCAAGUAAUGAAAUUUCAUGCUUGGAAUCGGUAAUUGCAAUUUUAUCGUGAACGAGGAAUUCCUAGUAAGCACUAGUCAUCAGCUAAUGUUGAUUAUGUCCCUGCCCUUUGUACUCACCGCCCGUCGCUACUACUGAUUGGGUGUUCAAGUGAGAUGCUUAGACCCUUGUUGCAUGGUUCAUUAUUGUGCUCCGAAAGGAAAAAGUUUCAAGCUUGAGUGUCUAGAGGAAGUAAAAGUCGUAACA
rnacentral:rRNA from 1 species